CUGACGAGAGGAGCCCGCGGCGCAUUAGCUAGUUGGUGGGGUAACGGCCUACCAAGGCGACGAUGCGUAGCCGACCUGAGAGGGUGACCGGCCACACUGGGACUGAGACACGGCCCAGACUCCUACGGGAGGCAGCAGUAGGGAAUCUUCCGCAAUGGGCGCAAGCCUGACGGAGCAACGCCGCGUGAGCGAAGAAGGCCUUCGGGUUGUAAAGCUCAGUCAUUCGGGAAGAGCGGACAGGAGAGGGAAUGCUCCUGUCGAGACGGUACCGGAAGAGGAAGCCCCGGCUAACUACGUG
rnacentral:rRNA from 1 species